rnacentral:rRNA from 1 species
UACGGGGGGUGCAAGCGUUAUCCGGAAUCACUGGGUUUAAAGGGUGCGUAGGCGGCUUGGUAAGUCAGAGGUGAAAGCCCGCAGCUUAACUGCGGAACUGCCUUUGAUACUGCCGAGCUUGAAAGAGGUUGAGGUCAGCUGAACGUGACAUGUAGCGGUGAAAUGCAUAGAUAUGUCACAGAACACCAAUUGCGAAGGCAGCUGGCUGGGCCGACUUUGACGCUGAGGCACGAAAGCGUGGGGAGCGAACAGG